rnacentral:rRNA from 1 species
AACGAACGCUGGCGGCAUGCCUAACACAUGCAAGUCGAACGAGACCUUCGGGUCUAGUGGCGCACGGGUGCGUAACGCGUGGGAAUCUGCCCUUAGGUUCGGAAUAACUUCGGGAAACUGAAGCUAAUACCGGAUGAUGACGUAAGUCCAAAGAUUUGUCGCCUAAGGAUGAGCCCGCGUUGGAUUAGCUAGUUGGUGAGGUAAAGGCUCACCAAGGCGACGAUCCAUAGCUGGUCUGAGAGGAUGAUCAGCCACACUGGGACUGAGACACGGCCCAGACUCCUACGGGAGGCAGCAGUGGGAAUAUUUGGACAAUGGGCGAAAGCCUGAUCCAGCAAUGCCGCGUGAGUGAUGAGGCCUUAGGGUUGUAAAGCGUCUUUACCAGGGAUGAUAAUGACAGUACCUGGAGAAGUAAAGCUCCGGCUAACUCCGUGCCAGCAGCCGCGGUAAAGU